GCCCCCAGCCCACACGGGCGCCCCGCGCUCCCGCCCCCGGCCCCUGGCCACGCGAGCCCCAGGACCCUCAGUAGCGCCCCAGCGCCGCUGCAGCUCAGACACACCGAAAUAGGAAUGAUUUAAUCCAACGACACCUCCCAGGGCUGCCUAGUCCCGGUUCCGCCAGCUCCUGAGAUUGGGGAGGGGAAUCAGGUGGAACUCGGAUUGGGGGGCGGAAAAGGCCCGAGUGGGAGGGAACGCGCGGGGUCGGCUGCUACCUUGUAAGCGAGUUAGGUUCCUGCAGAAAGGAAAGACGAAGGUCGCCCACGGACCCUCGGAUGACCUCGGCGCGGCCUGGUGGCCAGGAACAGCCGCGCGUGGACGAGGUCCCUUCCAGGGGUUCUCCCUGCAGGAGUCUCCAGGGAGGAAGUGGGCACGUGGGUCCUUAACCUCUCCAUUGCAUCAUCCCCAUCCCGGUGGGUACAGAAGCGCAGUAACCCCGCGAUACUCCCGGAAGACACCGCGUCUCCAACAUUUACACGGAGAUGCUGCUCGGCUCAGGUCGGGUCCGUACGCUUCCCGAGGUGCGUACUACGAGAGCCACACACAUCACUACCGAUAUUCCUGGGAAAGUCGGUGCCACAGUUCCGACCUGAAUCCGAAAGUGCUUCUAAAUCCCAUGCUUCACAGAACGUUCGGAAGGGGAGGCGCUCCGUGGGGGCUGCUGCCUGCCCAUGUAGCUGAACUGACUCGAAUAAAAGGGUGUCCACGUCUACAUCACACAUCUGUGUAAAUGCAGAAGCCUGCGGAUGCGCGGGGCUGGCCAGACUUCACAGUGUGCAGACACAUGGGCUCAUGCACGCGCGCGCGCUCACACACACUCACACCCCAAAUUACCUCCGGGAUGGAGAAAGCCGCUGCGGAUUGGCCAGCAGAGCCGUCACUCAUGCCCAGGGGGCAGGGAGACUUCGCAAAGCUGUUUCCUUUUUUUUUUUUUUCUCUGCUCUCCUCCCUACUGUUUCAUUUAAUGGUAAAACAACAGCAGAGCUCUGAAAGUUAGCCAUCUGCGCGGAGUUUGCCUUCUUUAAGGAGGGAGGCGUCAGACGAUAUCCAUUUAAAUAUAUUUUGUACUUCCACAAAGGAUGGAAAGGGAAAUUAACGAAGGGAGUGGAGGCGGAAAGGGAGCUCCGAGUAAGAAGGAGGGGUCAUCCCGCGGGGGGUUGGGGGGGCGGGGGCUGAGGGCCAACGCCAGGGAAAGAGUUGUUCUCUACACCGAAAAGGGACUUUGACCUUCCAUUGAUCUCUCAGAAUUAAAAAAUGUUUCUUCACAGGUCGGAUUGUAACAAACGCUCGUUCCUAAUUUAUGAACUCGUCGUUUUGAUUUUAUUAUUUAAGCAUGCGCCAGCAAUCGUGUUUCCUUAAGAAAGAACUGACCUAUUUUUGGCUGGAGAUAAACGAUCAUGUUAACAGAUGUUAAUCUUGUAAUCUGUUUUUCCUGUAAGCACUUUACCUACCCGGGUUUCAGACCUUAAAAAUAACAUCUUUUCCAAAAAGACCUGACGUCACAAUUCACUCCCUGAAAAAUCACACUCCCCCUCCAGUUUCUUCCCCUGCAAUGAUUUCAAAGACAUUAAAUCUUUUCCACUUUAUAAAUGCUGAUCUGUUCUGCCUCUACUCCCACAGGCUCUUAUUUGCAUUUCAAAUUCCACAGGUUACACCAGUCGCCUUUUCAAAAAAAUGUAAACCAACAAUGAAGCAGCAAAUGGCUUUUUGUGCAUCUGGAUUAAAUAAAGCACAGAAUGAAUAUAUUU